GUCCAAAAGUUCCAUAGCUAGAGAAACACACAGAAGGAUAAGUCUGGGGGCCAGAGGCAAGUCAAGUUAUUACCUCUAAAUCUCCCAUUCCUCAUCGUGUGUUUUGAAUGUAGCAAUGACUCACUUUAUUGAGCCUCCCACUGCGUCCACCAUGGUGUCAGAGGUAAAGCAUGUCCAGCACAGUCGCCCCGCAGUCAAUGGUGUGGAGACGUAGGGAAUGGACUGAGAAAUAAUUGUCCAGGACAGAAUGUCUCGGAGCGGUGUGUGGGAGAGCUCUGCUGAUACUCAUCCUACUGCUCAUCAUUCAUUUUCAUUCACACAGGGAUUAUUUCUGGAGGGAAAGGAAAGACAUCAUCUUUCAACACCACUUCUCUGUUCAAGUCUGCAUUCGACUGAUCCGGGAUCAGAAACACCAACAGCUGAAUUUAUCUCUGACCAGUUCCGCCAGACCCAUCCACCAGGCUUAUCAUGAACAGUGACAGACGCCCAGCAGUCGCCACAUCCCUCCAGCACAAGCCCUGACCUCUCCGACCUGUCAUUCCAAACAGUAGACCGAUUACCUUUUCCAGGCCCAUCCUGCUUCUGCUGCUAUCUGUCCAUGGGUCUCUCCUCA